rnacentral:rRNA from 1 species
AGCGAACGCUGGCGGCAGGCUUAACACAUGCAAGUCGAGCGCCCCGCAAGGGGAGCGGCAGACGGGAGAGUAACACGUGGGAACAUACCUUUUGGUUCGGAACAACUGAGGGAAACUUCAGCUAAUACCGGAUAAGCCCUUACGGGGAAAGAUUUAUCGCCGAAAGAUUGGCCCGCGUCUGAUUAGCUAGUUGGUGAGGUAACGGCUCACCAAGGCGACGAUCAGUAGCUGGUCUGAGAGGAUGAUCAGCCUCACUGGGACUGAGACACGGCCCAGACUCCUACGGGAGGCAGCAGUGGGGAAUAUUGGACAAUGGGGGCAACCCUGAUCCAGCCAUGCCGCGUGAGUGAUGAAGGCCUUAGGGUUGUAAAGCUCUUUUGCCCGGGAAGACAAUGACGGUACCGGGAGAAUAAGCCCCGGCUAACUUCGUG